AUCAGCCAUUCGAUGAUGUGACUAAUCGAAUCUGUGACUCAGGUUAAAUCCCCCAGUACUGAUUAAUUAACGCUUAAACUCAUUAAAACCGAUGUCGUACACAUUUUAAUAAGGGUCAACAACGUCUUUACUUACGUUUUCCAUGUCAUCCACUCUUUUAACGAUCGGUAACAACAGUGUUUCAUUAAGUCAAAUGUUUAACCACGGAAAGGUUGCGACGGGGUGUUCAGUGGGUAAAUGAUGUUGCGUGGGAAUCUGAGUAAUAACCUGUCCUAAUUGGUUCCGCUAUGGGCUCACGUUGAUGGAUUUAAGUCAGUGAUAGACAAUUAUUCAUGUAACUUUAUUUUAUGAUAUUCUGAUAAUUUAUAAUGGGCUGUGCAGCAACUAAGGAUUAUUCAACUCAAGCUAAUGGUAAAUGCAAUUGUAAAUGUCAUCAAAAUGGUGCGCCAACAAAUGCACCGACAGACGGUGGUGUGGAAAAAUUUACUGAUGACCCCCGACUGCCGUUAUCGGGUAGACAGAAAUUUAGUUUAACGAAAUCGUGGAAGGCUAUCAGUAGAAAUAUUUCUCAAGCGGGUAUGGUUAUGUUUGUCAGUUUAUUUGAAAAGCACGAGGUUGUCCGAUUAUUCUUUGUCAAGACAUUGAAAGCUGAUGUCAAAUCGCUGAGUGAUUUGGCCGAGAACAAGAAAUUACAGAGUCAUGUUGCGUCCGUCAUGUUGACGAUCGAUGAAGCAAUGACAACAUUAAACGAUGCAGACCACGUGAUUGACAUGUUAACCCACGUCGGUGAAACUCAUGUGCGUUUUACUGGAUUUUUACCUGAAUGGUUCCUGCUUAUUGAAGAACCAUUUCUUGUGGCAGUAAAAGAUACACUGGGAGAACGAUAUACUUUGAGUAUGGAGGAUAAUUAUAGAAAGGCCAUUAGAUUUAUUCUGGACACCCUAUUUGCUGGAUUUGCAAAAGGAAAAAAAUUAAGCAAUGAAUAAUUUUAGGUUGUGCCUUAAUGUUAAGUACUGAUAAUGGUGAUCACCUUAGCAUAAAUGCGACUAGUAGGAUUUAAACUAUUGUACCACCCAUCCUGGAGGCGAAUCAAGUCCAUAAAUACAAAACCAGAAAUUAUACGUGGAGUUUACGGGGUUAAUGUGCAAUAGUCACUGGGAAUGUUCUUCUAAGUCACGGUUACUAUAUAAGACGUAUUUCCUCUCUAAUUCUCAAAACCAUACCUGGUUAGUGAUUGGGGUUGUUGCAACUAUCUCUGACAUUUUUCAGUUAACAUUACCUGUACACCACACCCCAGAAGUGCAACAACGCUGAACAAUGAUUCCGACCAAACAUGAUUUCUACAAACUGGUAUUUCAUAAGAUUACUUAUAGGAAUAUGUUGCUCCAGAUGAAUAGGGUUGAUAUCAUGACCAAUGUGCUUUAUUGAAGCACACAUUCUUCUACGUCACUUGAUUUUGGAGAUUUUCUUUUUCACACAAAAAAAUAGCCCAGUUGCAGCUAAAUCUAAUUCGUCCAAAUAUAUAUAUGAAUACUUUUUUGUCAUAGUAUGUACUCGUAUAAUAUUUUAAAGUUGUUAUCUAUAUCAACCUUACUAACAUUAAUAUACGCUCACAAACUAAUAUGGCUGUAAAGUAUCGACACUUCGGGUGAUUUGAUUCCAAGCAAAUUUUAUUUCUGCACUUAUGAUACACUUACUUUUGUUUGUCCACUGUUUGGUCAGCAUACACAUAUUAUACACUAUUUUAAAAAAUUAUCAUUUUGUCACUAAAGCAUUUAAAAUUAUAUAAACUUCACAAUUAUUUUUAUACUUUAACAAAUUUAUGUCUGUAUAAUGUCGGCACUUGGAGAUAUAUAUAUUGGCAAACUAGAAUCUGUACGGGCAGCAGCUCCAGUUCAGCGAUAUCUCCUUGUAUGCGGUCACGAUAAAUUGCCCCCGUAGAAAUUCUAUUGUUUCAUCUCUUUAUUCCACGGUCACUCCUCUAACCCGGCAAGCGGUCCCUGUUUUAGUUAUAAACUCAACAAAAAAUCGCCCCUGGUUUUAUAUUGUCAAUAUAGCAGUUAUGAUCUAUGACAAUUGGUAAAGUGUAUAUCAUGUCAGUUCCAAUGCCACGUUAUUCUUUGGCUACUUAUGUCCACCCCUUAUAUACAUUUAUGUAAAAUGUAUGCUUUAGC